UCCUUCCCGCGCCACCCGGACACGGAGUUAAACAGUGCCGGCCCGCCGGAGAGGCACCUGGGAUUUUUUCUUCCCAAAAGCGCACGCGCAAUGAACCUCCCAGCGGGUCAUGCUGGGUUAUGUAGUUUCGGUCUCUCGCUAUGCCAGCACAGAGCAACGUGGGGCAGCCUGGUGUAGUGGUGAGAGCUGAGGGUUGGUAGUGCACUAUCGGUUCUCCUUCUGUAUAGCAUUCAAGGUGACCUGAUGCUUUAGUUUCCAGAAGGAGGAGUGGGGACCUAGAGAGACAAAAGAUUCCUGCCUUGUGCCAAAGCUAUCAAAGGGGGUGAAACAGGACAAAGGGCUGCCAGUCAUGAGAGAGCCCCUGUUUUUCACCUAAGAUAUCUGCUGGAACCAACAAGAACUGUACUAGGGAAAAUGAUGGAGCCCAGACUAGGAAGGAGUCUAGUCUAUGAAAGAAGCUUACUGAAACAUGUCUGAGGAAUUCCCCCAGCAGUACCCAUCUGUGGUUCUUC